rnacentral:tRNA from 1 species
GGGGUUGUAGCUCAGUGGUAAAGCACUUGCCUAGCAUGUAUGAGGCACUGGGUUCGAUUCCCAGCACCA